rnacentral:lncRNA from 1 species
ACUUUUUCUGUGUGUUCUUUAUUUAUUUAUUUUUUCUAUUUUUUAAUUUUUCUUUUUAACAUUUUUUUUCUUUUUAUUUUUUCAUUUAUUUUUCUUUUUUUUAAACAUUACAUUUAUUUAUAUCAAUGGUUACCGUUCCUUACGACAAUAGUUACUUGACCAAAUAACUCAAAAUACAAGUUCUCGUGAGUAAAAAUAACAAUUAUCGUAAAAAGAAAUAAUAAUUUUGAAAC